AACCCUCCACUACACUCACAUUCGAGGCCUCUCUCUUCUCUACAACUAAAACUCAAACCUCAUCUGAAAAGAGAAACCCCAAGUGAAGCCUCUCUCUUCCUUAUUCGAAAACCCGUUGUGCCUCUUGUAUCUUCCUCUUUAUUCGCAUCUGCAAAACCAUGUCUGAGAUACUCAGUGUUGCUUGGAGAAAAUAGCUCAUACCACUUCAAUCCCACCCUCUUAGAACUAAGAUUUUGUGUUCAAUCAGAGAGAUGAUUUCUGGAACGAGGCCAUUAAACUUGCUGAUUUGCACCACUUCAAUGUGGUAGCUUCUAUGGUGUUGUACUUGAUGGGCCGGGAGGUUAUGUGUCAACAGUGACAGAGUAUAUGGUUAAUGGCUCUCUUAGAAAUGCCUUGUAGAAGAAUAAGAACUAAUGUGUUUGUUUGGCUUUUUGUUCUUUGCAUUAAUUUGAUAAAAUCAGAAUGAAUGUUGUAGUUGAUUAGUUGGUAUGUAAUUUCCCAUUGUAUUAAUCAAUUGGGUAUUGAAAUUUGUUUGUGUUUGUAUGAAAAUAUGGGAUUGUAUGUUGAAGUUUGUUGCUAGAAGUUUGGAUGAACUUUGAUGAAAAUGUUUAUGUUUGUUAGGAGCAAGUUCAGUUUUAGGAUUAUUUAAUAGAAUACAGAUGUUAACAGGUUU